AACGUAGGUGGCAAGCGUUAUCCGGAUUUACUGGGCGUAAAGGGUGUGCAGGCGGGGUUGCAAGUGGGGGAUGAAAUCUCCCGGCUUAACCGGGAGGGGUUAUGCCAGACUGCAAUUCUAGAGGACGAGAGAGGGGGGUGGAAUUCCGGGUGUAGUGGUGAAAUGCGUAGAGAUCCGGAGGAACCCCAGAGGCGAAGGCGGCCCCCUGGCUCGUACCUGACGCUCAGCCACGAAAGCAUGGGGAGCGAACGGG
rnacentral:rRNA from 1 species